rnacentral:lncRNA from 1 species
UGGGGGAAGGGGGUGGAUCCAGUGGUGCGCCGGGAAUGAACUGACCCAAGUGAGCUGGGACAUGUGCAUACAGAGAGCAGAGGCAGAAGUCAAGGAACUGGAGGCUGAGGAACCCAGCGGACCACGAAAGCAGGGAGAUAACUAGACAGCAUGCUCGGCUGGAAGGACCAAAGUCAGAGAAGGAAAAAUGAAUAAGAAAAUGAGCAGUCAGAGGCAGCUAGGGUGACGGACAGACAGCAUGAAGCGCAGCAGAAUGAAGAGCCAGAAGACUCGGACAGGCAGAGCCGAAGGACCGCAGAGCUCAGCGCCGGAGGCUUUCUGCAGCUCCAAGCCUCCAGGACACACAAAGAGGGA